UGGUUCCCGCAAAGAAGGGUGGCGAGAAGAAAACGGGCCGUUGCCAUCAACGAAGUGGUAACCCGAGAAUAUACCAUCAACAUUCACAAGCGCAUCCAUGGAGUGGGCUUCAAGAAACGUGCACCUUGGGCACUCAAAGAGAUUCGGAAAUUUGCCAUGAAGGAGAUGGGAACUCCAGAUGUGCGCAUUGACACCAGGCUCAACAAAGCUGUCCAGAAAACGUAAUGAGGAUGAAGAUUCACCAAAUAAGCUAUAUACUUUGGUUACCUAUGUAACUGUUACCACUUUCAAAAAUCUACAGACAGUCAAUGUGGAUGAGAACUAAUCCCUGAUCGUCAGAUA
rnacentral:lncRNA from 1 species